GAAAGUCCAUUCUGUCACUCAAGGCACCUCUGUCAAAUGGCACAUCCUGCUCUUUGCUACCGCGGAUAUUUGAAAUUGGAUUUACCAAUAUUUUCUAAAUGCAAAGUAUAGCUACAGAUUUCAGUACCAGUGUUGUCCUGAAUACAGCUGCUGGUAUCAACACAGCUCUGUCUUCUGUGGCUAAAGCAGUCUGGACUGGUUGAAGCAGAGUGGGAAAGAUUAUUUUGAAAGUGUUUCAGUUUGCUGUGAAUCAUCAUAAUCUAUACAUCGGACCUGAGCCCUAGGACCAUGCCUCAGGACUACCUGGCAUGAUGACUCCUUGCUGUCCCCAGUCCACCUGGCCGUGCUGCUGCUCCAGUUUCAACUGUUCUGCCUGCAGCUAUGGAACCCUGACCUGUUCACUGGACAUGCUACCUGUCCCAGACCUGCUGUUUUCAACUCUCUAGAGACAGUGGUAGAAAUACUCUCAAUGAUCGGCUAUGAGAAGCCAACUGACAUUUACUCUUGAGGUGCUGACUUGUUGCACCCUCGACAACUACUGUGAUUAUUAUUAUUUGACCAUGCUGGUCAUUUAUGAACAUUUGAACAUCUUGGCCAUGUUCUGUUAUAAUCUCAACCCGGC
rnacentral:lncRNA from 1 species